GACGAACCGUGCGAACGUUGUUCGGAAUCACUGGGCUUAAAGGGCGCGUAGGCGGCUUAUCAAGUCCGGGGUGAAAUCUUUCGGCUUAACCGGAAAAGUGCCUUGGAUACUGAUGAGCUUGAGGGAGGUAGGGGCAGCUGGAACUUCCAGUGGAGCGGUGAAAUGCGUUGAUAUUGGAAGGAACUCCGGUGGCGAAAGCGAGCUGCUGGAUCUCUUCUGACGCUGAGGCGCGAAAGCUAGGGGAGCGAACGGG
rnacentral:rRNA from 1 species